rnacentral:rRNA from 1 species
GCGAACGCUGGCGGCAGGCUUCACACAUGCCAGUCGCGCGGGCAUCCUUGUGGUGUCAGCGGCAGACGGGUGAGUAACGCGUGGGAACGUGCCCUUCGGUUCGGAAUAACUCAGGGAAACUUGAGCUAAUACCGGAUACGUGCGAGAGCAGAAAGGUUUAUCUGCCGAAGGAUCGGCCCGCGUCUGAUUAGCUAGUUGGUGAGGUUACGGCUCACCAAGGCGACGAUCAGUAGCUGGUCUGAGAGGAUGAUCAGCCACACUGGGACUGAGACACGGCCCAGACUCCUACGGGAGGCAGCAGUGGGGAAUAUUGGACAAUGGGGGCAACCCUGAUCCAGCCAUGCCGCGUGAGUGAUGACGGCCUUAGGGUUGUAAAGCUCUUUUCUCCGGGACGAUAAUGACGGUACCGGAGGAAUAAGCCCCGGCUAACUUCGUG